CUCGGCGUGGGGAGCCGUAGCCCGGCAGUCGGGACGGGAGAGCGGAGCAGGCAUUGCAGGAAGUUUUGGAGAGGAGAAGCUGAGCGGCAACGAGGAGCCUGAGCAGGUACGGUGCGGGCCUUUCCCAGGCGAGGCUGAGGAUUUGAGGUGAAGUGGAAUGGAUGCCACGGGCAGCGUCACAGCCACAAUGCUGGAGCGUGGCUUUGGCACAGUACAGGUGAUAAAGGCAACUGUGGUGACUGAAGGGAGAUCAGCGUGGAUGUGGCUGCCAUUGAGGAUGGCUCUUGAGGAGCGAUGGUGAUGCCCAGCAUUUGACCAG